rnacentral:rRNA from 1 species
GCUGGCGGCGUGCCUAAUACAUGCAAGUCGAACGCGCAGCGAGAGGUGCUUGCACCUUUCAAGCGAGUGGCGAACGGGUGAGUAACACGUGGAUAACCUGCCUCAAGGCUGGGGAUAACAUUUGGAAACAGAUGCUAAUACCGAAUAAAACUUAGUAUCGCAUGAUACAAAGUUAAAAGGCGCUACGGCGUCACCUAGAGAUGGAUCCGCGGUGCAUUAGUUAGUUGGUGGGGUAAAGGCUUACCAAGACAAUGAUGCAUAGCCGAGUUGAGAGACUGAUCGGCCACAUUGGGACUGAGACACGGCCCAAACUCCUACGGGAGGCUGCAGUAGGGAAUCUUCCACAAUGGGCGCAAGCCUGAUGGAGCAACGCCGCGUGUGUGAUGAAGGCUUUCGGGUCGUAAAGCACUGUUGUAUGGGAAGAAAUGCUAAAAUAGGGAAUGAUUUUAGUUUGACGGUACCAUACCAGAAAGGGACGGCUAAAUACGUGCCAGCAGCCGCGGUAAUACGUAUGUCCCGAGCGUUAUCCGGAUUUAUUGGGCGUAAAGCGAGCGCAGACGGUUGAUUAAGUCUGAUGUGAAAGCCCGGAGCUCAACUCCGGAAUGGCAUUGGAAACUGGUUAACUUGAGUGUUGUAGAGGUAAGUGGAACUCCAUGUGUAGCGGUGGAAUGCGUAGAUAUAUGGAAGAACACCAGUGGCGAAGGCGGCUUACUGGACAACAACUGACGUUGAGGCUCGAAAGUGUGGGUAGCAAACAGGAUUAGAUACCCUGGUAGUCCACACCGUAAACGAUGAAUACUAGGUGUUAGGAGGUUUCCGCCUCUUAGUGCCGAAGCUAACGCAUUAAGUAUCCGC